rnacentral:rRNA from 1 species
AACGUAGGGGGCAAGCGUUGCCCGGAUUCACUGGGCGUAAAGCGCGUGUAGGCGGUCCGUUAAGUCGGAUGUGAAAUCUCUGGGCUUAACCCAGAAAUCGCAUCCGAUACUGGCGGACUUGAGGAUGGUAGAGGUUGGUGGAAUUCCCGGUGUACCGGUGAAAUGGACAGAUAUCGGGAGGAACACCAGUGGCGAAGGCGGCCAACUGGGCCAUUCCUGACGCUGAGACGCGAAAGCCAGGGGAGCGAACCGG